UCGUCUCUCGCAAGGCAUGCUGACAGACAACAUUGUAAGCCAACAUUAGCCUACUGAUUUUCUUUAUAAGCAGCAUUUUUAUGUUAUACAUUCUUUCAGAUAAUAAAAUGAAACUUACAGCUCGAAAACAAUACAUCAACAGGGAGAGACCCUGUUUAAAAAUGAUGUUUGCUGGGAUCUGCCUUGUAUUAAUAUGUUUUCUGAUUGUAUGGUCGUAUAUA